rnacentral:rRNA from 1 species
GACGAACGCUGGCGGCGUGCUUAACACAUGCAAGUCGAACGGAGUGGCGAACGGGUGAGUAACACGUGGGUGACCUUCCCUGCACUUCGGGAUAAGCCUGGGCAACUGGGUCUACUACCGGCUAGUGUGGGAUGGGCCCGCGGCCUAUCGGCUUGUGGGUGGGGUAAUGGCCUACCAAGGCGGCGACGGGUAGCCGGCCUGAGAGGGUGUCCGGCCACAUGGGGACUGCGGAAGGGCCCAGAGGCGUACGGGGGGCAGCAGGGGGGAAUAUUGCACAAUGGGCGGAAGCGUGAUGCAGCGACGCCGCGUGGGGGAUGACGGCUUUCGGGUUGUAAACGCCUUUCACCAUCGACGCGGUAGAUGGAGAAGAAGCACCGGCUAACUACGUGCCAGCCGCCGCGGUAAUAC